rnacentral:rRNA from 1 species
UACGUAGGGGGCAAGCGUUGGUCCGGAUUUAUUGGGCGUAAAGAGCGUGUAGGCGGCCAUACAGGUCCGUUGUGAAAACUGGAGGCUUAACCUCCAGACGUCGAUGGAAACCGUAUGGCUAGAGUCCGGAAGAGGAGAGUGGAAUUCCUGGUGUAGCGGUGAAAUGCGCAGAUAUCAGGAAGAACACCAGCUGGUCGGAAAGGCGGCUCACUGGCCCGUUACCGACGCUCAGGCGCGACAGCGUGGGGAGCAAACAGG